rnacentral:rRNA from 1 species
GACGCCGCGUGGGGGAUGAAUGCCUUCGGGUUGUAAACCCCUUUCAGGAGGGACGAAGCGAAAGUGACGGUACCUCCAGAAGAAGCCCCGGCCAACUACGUGCCAGCAGCCGCGGUAAUACGUAGGGGGCGAGCGUUGUCCGGAUUUAUUGGGCGUAAAGAGCUCGUAGGCGGCUCAGCAAGUCGGCCGUGAAAGCCUGAGGCUCAACCUCAGGACGCCGGUCGAAACUGCUGUGGCUAGGGUCCGGUAGAGGAGAGUGGAAUUCCCGGUGUAGCGGUGAAAUGCGCAGAUAUCGGGAGGAACACCAGUAGCGAAGGCGGCUCUCUGGGCCGGUACCGACGCUGAGGAGCGAAAGCUAGGGGAGCAAACAGGAUUAGAUACCCUGGUAGUCCUAGCCGUAAACGUUGGGUACUAGGUGUGGCGGAUUCAUUGACAUCUGCCGUGCCGAAGCUAACGCAUUAAGUACCCCGCCUGGGGAGUACGGUCGCAAGGCUAAAACUCAAAUGAAUUGACGG